AGACAUCUGGGCUGCUAGCUGCAUGAAGGAGCUACCCGCUGUGGGUCUCCUCUUUGCUGACAGCUGGACACUUGACAGAAUGACCUGCCUGAACUCGGGACCUGCAGAAUGAUGGGACUGAAGAAGCUGUAACACAAACAGGGCUAAAACACGCACUCUCCUCCCCCUGCUCCCCACCGCCCCACCCACUUGCCACAUUGGAGGUGAUGAGAAGGAGAGAAGAGCUGUGGCCUUUCAGGGAGCAUAGUCCCAGGGGCUCCCUGAGCCAGGGCUGUGAAACCCUCUUCCGGGCACUGCAGUUCCUGGCAUCUCCAAACUUCUGAGUGCCACCGCAUUCCCCGCGUCCGGAUGCAGGUCAAUGCACAGAAAGAAAUCUCUCUCCUGACUUUAGUACAAUGGCACGAUUGGUGGCCACAGUCCAAGGAUGGUUGCUGGGGCACCAAGAGAUUUCUGACAAAGGGCAUUAAAACUGAGAAAGUUUGGGAACCUCUGAAUGCUGUAGGACUUGCAUUUACGUUCUAACUGAGCUUGUUGGACACUGAAAUGGAGGAAGAAUCACAAGCCAUUUUCAAACCUGAUUAUGGCCUCCAGUUCCAUCCAUGUUGCUGCAGAAGCUAUAAUUUUAUUCUUUUGAAUGCUUUAAGCGUUCCAAAUCAUUGAAUUACUGAGAAGAUUAAAUGAGGGUAAAACAAUCCUUGAUACAUACCAACCAUCCAAUAAGAUUUGGCUGCAAUCACUACUUGUCAUCAUCAGUGACUGUAACAGAAGCAUGAAGACCAUAGCAAAGAGUCUGGAUACAGUGAAACAAGAAAUCGAGAGCCUUGUUAUUUCCUGCCUAAGUUCUUUCUGGCUGUAAGUCUCUGAUGUUGGCAAGUGACAGACCCCUAUGGCCAAUGAAUCACAACUUAAAUGAGUACCAAGUUCCCAGCUGAUAUGUGAAAAGGAGCUCAGUGAGAGGUACUUAUGUCCUUUGUGUACUUAAAAUAUUGCCCUUAAUGAAUAAGUCCGUGUGUUCAUUUUUAUUACAAAAGUAGCAGACCUAUCUUACUUUCAAUAUUACAAGGACAAUGCUUGCAAAGAUGAACAAAGGACGUUUAAAGAUACAGGGUCUGAAAGCUUCCGAAAGCCACAUAGUGAGAGAUAUUAAAACAAGUUGAGAGAAUUUGAUGUCAAAGGCAAGAUCAUAUCUGAAGCAUUUCUCAACACUGUAUAAAAUGCAAAAACAAAGAGAAA
rnacentral:lncRNA from 10 species